UAACGCGAAGAACCUUACCAAGGCUUGACAUAUACGAGAACGCUGCAGAAAUGUAGAACUCUUUGGACACUCGUAUACAGGUGGUGCAUGGUUGUCGUCAGCUCGUGUCGUGAGAUGUUGGGUUAAGUCCCGCAACGAGCGCAACCCUCGUUCUAUGUUGCCAGCACGUAAUGGUGGGGACUCAUAGGAGACUGCCGGGGUCAACUCGGAGGAAGGUGGGGAUGACGUCAAAUCAUCAUGCCCCUUAUGUCUUGGGCUUCACGCAUGCUACAAUGGCCGGUACAAAGGGCUGCGAAACCGCGAGGUGGAGCGAACCCCAAAAAACCGGUCUCAGUUCGGAUUGGGGUCUGCAACUCGACCCCAUGAAGUCGGAGUCGCUAGUAAUCGCAGAUCAGCAACGCUGCGGUGAAUACGUUCCCGGGUCUUGUACACACCGA
rnacentral:rRNA from 1 species